CAAUUGUUUCUGAAAAUUCAAGUUCC
rnacentral:piRNA from 1 species